UUCAAUUAUUGAAAUAUUGUGAGUAAUAUAUUCCAAUCCCAACUUUUGUCCAGUUGGGCGGCGGAAGAACGUUCUCUUUGAGGGCAUUGAAACGGUAUGGAUGCGGGAUCGCAAAGCAGCUUGAAGAAACGAAAACGCCGCCCGGAAAAGGCGGCGUUUUGAUCUUGAU
rfam:Brucella melitensis biovar Abortus 2308 chromosome II, complete sequence, strain 2308